GGUUCCUGUCCAACGUUAAUCGGGGCAGGGUGAGUCGACCCCUAAGGCGAGGCCGAAAGGCGUAGUCGAUGGGAAACAGGUUAAUAUUCCUGUACUUGGUGUUACUGCGAAGGGGGGACGGAGAAGGCUAUGUUGGCCGGGCGACGGUUGUCCCGGUUUAAGCGUGUAGGCUGGUUUUCCAGGCAAAUCCGGAAAACCAAGGCUGAGGCGUGAUGACGAGGCACUACGGUGCUGAAGCGACAAAUGCCCUGCUUCCAGGAAAAGCCUCUAAGCAUCAGGUAACAUCAAAUCGUACCCCAAACCGACACAGGUGGUCAGGUAGAGAAUACCAAGGCGCUUGAGAGAACUCGGGUGAAGGAACUAGGCAAAAUGGUGCCGUAACUUCGGGAGAAGGCACGCUGAUAUGUAGGUGAAGCGACUUGCUCGUGGAGCUGAAAUCAGUCGAAGAUACCAGCUGGCUGCAACUGUUUAUUAAAAACACAGCACUGUGCAAACACGAAAGUGGACGUAUACGGUGUGACGCCUGCCCGGUGCCGGAAGGUUAAUUGAUGGGGUUAGCGGCAACGCGAAGCUCUUGAUCGAAGCCCCGGUAAACGGCGGCCGUAACUAUAACGGUCCUAAGGUAGCGAAAUUCCUUGUCGGGUAAGUUCCGACCUGCACGAAUGGCGUAAUGAUGGCCAGGCUGUCUCCACCCGAGACUCAGUGAAAUUGAACUCGCUGUGAAGAUGCAGUGUACCCGCGGCAAGACGGAAAGACCCCGUGAACCUUUACUAUAGCUUGACACUGAACAUUGAGCCUUGAUGUGUAGGAUAGGUGGGAGGCUUUGAAGUGUGGACGCCAGUCUGCAUGGAGCCGACCUUGAAAUACCACCCUUUAAUGUUUGAUGUUCUAACGUUGGCCCCUAAUCGGGGUUGCGGACAGUGUCUGGUGGGUAGUUUGACUGGGGCGGUCUCCUCCUAAAGAGUAACGGAGGAGCACGAAGGUUGGCUAAUCCUGGUCGGACAUCAGGAGGUUAGUGCAAUGGCAUAAGCCAGCUUGACUGCGAGCGUGACGGCGCGAGCAGGUGCGAAAGCAGGUCAUAGUGAUCCGGUGGUUCUGAAUGGAAGGGCCAUCGCUCAACGGAUAAAAGGUACUCCGGGGAUAACAGGCUGAUACCGCCCAAGAGUUCAUAUCGACGGCGGUGUUUGGCACCUCGAUGUCGGCUCAUCACAUCCUGGGGCUGAAGUAGGUCCCAAGGGUAUGGCUGUUCGCCAUUUAAAGUGGUACGCGAGCUGGGUUUAGAACGUCGUGAGACAGUUCGGUCCCUAUCUGCCGUG
rnacentral:rRNA from 2 species